rnacentral:rRNA from 1 species
AUGUCUAAACGACUCUCGGCAACGGAUAUCUCGGCUCUCGCAUCGAUGAAGAACGUAGCGAAAUGCGAUACUUGGUGUGAAUUGCAGAAUCCCGUGAACCAUCGAGUCUUUGAACGCAAGUUGCGCCCGAAGCCAUUAGGCCGAGGGCAUGCCUGCCUGGGCGUCACACGUCGCUGCCC